rnacentral:snoRNA from 1 species
GGUUUGAUGCCACGUUAUUGAUAGCUCAAGGUUGGUGACCAGCUAUGCUAAUUAUUAAACCAAAAACAAGUUUUUUUCGCCUUGAUAGAUAUCUGUUCAUCUUUUCUGUAUAGAACCGUUUGGUGUGAUUACAUUU